rnacentral:rRNA from 1 species
UACGUAGGGUGCGAGCGUUAAUCGGAAUUACUGGGCGUAAAGCGUGCGCAGGCGGCUUUGCAAGACAGAUGUGAAAUCCCCGGGCUCAACCUGGGAACUGCAUCUGUGACUGCAUCGCUGGAGUGCGGCAGAGGGGGGAUGGAAUUCCGCGUGUAGCAGUGAAAUGCGUAGAUAUGCGGAGGAACACCGAUGGCGAAGGCAAUCCCCUGGGCCUGCACUGACGCUCAUGCACGAAAGCGUGGGGAGCAAACAGG